rnacentral:rRNA from 1 species
GCAAGUCGUACGAUGAAGCCCUUAACGGGGGUGGAUUAGUGGCGAACGGGUGAGUAACACGUGAGCAACCUGCCCUUGACUCUGGGAUAAGCCUGGGAAACUGGGUCUAAUACCGGAUAGGACCUCCUGCCGCAUGGUGGGGGGUGGAAAGCCUUGUGCGGUCUUGGAUGGGCUCGCGGCCUAUCAGCUUGUUGGUGGGGUGAUGGCCUACCAAGGCGACGACGGGUAGCCGGCCUGAGAGGGUGACCGGCCACACUGGGACUGAGACACGGCCCAGACUCCUACGGGAGGCAGCAGUGGGGAAUAUUGCACAAUGGGCGCAAGCCUGAUGCAGCGACGCCGCGUGGGGGAUGACGGCCUUCGGGUUGUAAACCCCUUUCGGCAGGGAACAAGCCUCUUGGGGUGAGGGUACCUGCGGAAGAAGCGCCGGCUAACUACGUGCCAGCAGCCGCGGUAAUACGUAGGGCGCGAGCGUUAUCCGGAAUUAUUGGGCGUAAAGAGCUCGUAGGCGGUUUGUCGCGUCUGCUGUGAAAGCCCGGGGCUCAACCCCGGGUCUGCAGUGGGUACGGGCAGGCUGGAGUGCAGUAGGGGAGACUGGAAUUCCUGGUGUAGCGGUGAAAUGCGCAGAUAUCAGGAGGAACACCGAUGGCGAAGGCAGGUCUCUGGGCUGUAACUGACGCUGAGGAGCGAAAGCAUGGGGAGCGAACAGGAUUAGAUACCCUGGUAGUCCAUGCCGUAAACGUUGGGCACUAGGUGUGGGGGCCAUUCCACGGUUUCCGCGCCGCAGCUAACGCAUUAAGUGCCCCGCCUGGGGAGUACGGCCGCAAGGCUAAAACUCAAAGGAAUUGACGGGGGCCCGCACAAGCGGCGGAGCAUGCGGAUUAAUUCGAUGCAACGCGAAGAACCUUACCAAGGCUUGACAUGUGCCGGACCGUCCCAGAGAUGGGGCUUCCCUUCGGGGCCGGUUCACAGGUGGUGCAUGGUUGUCGUCAGCUCGUGUCGUGAGAUGUUGGGUUAAGUCCCGCAACGAGCGCAACCCUCGUUCCAUGUUGCCAGCACUUCGGGUGGGGACUCAUGGGAGACUGCCGGGGUCAACUCGGAGGAAGGUGGGGACGACGUCAAAUCAUCAUGCCCCUUAUGUCUUGGGCUUCACGCAUGCUACAAUGGCCGGUACAAAGGGUUGCGAUACUGUGAGGUGGAGCCAAUCCCAGAAAGCCGGUCUCAGUUCGGAUUGGGGUCUGCAACUCGGCCCCAUGAAGUCGGAGUCGCUAGUAAUCGCAGAUCAGCAACGCUGCGGUGAAUACGUUCCCGGGCCUUGUACACACCGCCCGUCAAGUCACGAAAGUCGGUAACACCCGAAGCCGGUGGCACGCAG